rnacentral:tRNA from 1 species
GGCGAGGUAGCUCAGUAGGUAGAGCAGGGGACUGAAAAUCCCUGUGUCGGCGGUUCGAUUCCGUCCCUCGCCA